UAAAACAUUGAUCAUUUUUUAGAUAAUUUUUCAUAUUUCUAUUUUUUUUGUAUGGAAGUCACCUGAGACAUGAGUUCUAAAUCUUCGAUUUUACGGAACAACGGCUGCCUCACCCUUCAAACCUAAACGCAUUAACUACUUCACGGCAGAAAUAGGCAGUGCUCACAGGAUGCACUAACACUGUUUUUGCCUCCCAUCUGUCCGACGUUUGGAAGAUCCUUAUUGUCUUUAGAGUCGGGGAUUUUCGGUGCUUCCUGCGAUUUAUGCGUCUGCUCCUGAGGUUUGUGGCCAUGGUCUGUGGGAUGUUUUAGGUCCGGCACGUCGUGGUCCAAAGGUUUGGCUGUCGAUGGCAGCUCCAUGCUGAUUACAACGGCCACUAACAUCAGCGCGCAAACUAUGAUC